GGCCGAGGUGAAAGACAUCUUGGAUGCAUAAAAUUAGUUCUGUAAAAAAAAAAAGUCCCUAACCGAAAGUAUUUCCGAUGGAAAUCUUCCGACGCUCAAAUCAAUGGACUAUCAAAGAAUAGAGGGAGAGAUAAAAAGAGUAAGAGUAGUUUUUUUAGAGUGGAUUUGAGACUUACUUAGGGUCCCUUAUCUUCCUCUAUUUAUAGAGGGAGAGUAGUGGCCUUUCCCAUAGAGGGAGGCCAUUGUUAUCAGAAGGUUUGCGCAAAUCUUAUGGAUGGAGAUUGCACUCCAUAAUUUGGAUGUAAAGGGGCAAGCUGUUGCCUAGCUAUUAUAUCUAUCCUUUCUUGUGCAGUUUUGGAUGCCUUAUCUGGCUCAACAUAAUCGAGAGAAUAUGAUUGCUUUUCAAAAUUAGUGGUUGACUAAUUUGGUCCGGAGCCCUCC
rnacentral:lncRNA from 1 species